UAGAUAAUUCAAUGACGGAGACGGUGACACGUGUCGGAGUAUAUUCGUUCAUGGUUGAAACCGUCGGAAGUCGGAGCUGUAACAUCGUCUUUAAUCCCACAUUCAUUGAUCCUUAUCUCUUCAAGACGGUGUUUCUCAAUCUACAAAAAGCCCGCAACUGUUUUUCCGGUGUCGAGCUGUGUUUGCUCCGAUUCUAGGAAGCUGGAAACGUCAAACGUGGUAGACAUGCUCCUCCUUGAUUCGAAGGGUUUUCCGAUCUUUAAUCUUAUGACCAUAUUUGAUUUAUUGUUCUCAUUCAUGAGCUUCAAGUUUUAUCCCCAUACCUUCUAUGAAUCUCUUUUGGGUUAUUUACUUUGAGGCCGUUUGUUGAUUAUGCUCUCUUUUCACAAGACCCUCACGCCAGCCAUCGUAAAUGUUCACCGUCUCGCCGCUUUUAGGGACUGUCUCAAGACUGGUUCAAUGUUCACACCCUAGCUCCUUGAUACAGAUGUGGCCAAUUACUAGGUGGUGCAGGGUCCUUUCCAGUGAAGUUCGCAGCGACGGAUCUGAUUUGUUGUCUUACUCUUCUCGGACACACCAGAAAGAUGAGUGAGAAGGUCCAUCGUAUUCGGUACAUAUAUUCAGCGAAGAAUAUCUUUUUCUUCCUCCACGUCUAAAUCUUUGGAAUGGACGCCUGAGAGGAACCGAAUGUCAGCGCAUCCUAACAAUAUGGGCCUCUGCUAGAAGUGCAGAGUGCUGUAAAAGGGAAAGACAAAAGAAAAGGGCCAAGUAAUAAAGUGCUGAAAAUUGUAAUCGUUUAGAUCUUGAAGAGGGUGGACAUUAGUACCAUGACCUUAUUAGAGGAUUGUUGUUCCUCUGCGGGCUUCAUCAUGGACAUCAUCAAAGAACUUUGCUACGGAGUUCAAAGAUGAUCUCAUCCCAAGAAAGAAAUCUACAAAGCUAAUGAUCCAAAAUGAGCUCACCGGAUAAGCAGAAGCGAGGAUGAGGAGGAGAAGAAAUAAGAACAUGGUAUAAACUUUUGUUGUUUUGUUUUGUUUGAGUCUGAACUGUGCAAAGCAUUUUCGUUUUUGGUAGCAAGAGGAAGAAGCUGCAUAGCCAGGUAGGUUUUAUGUAUGUCUAUACCAUUUAACAAAACGCCUCCCUUAGAUCACCGUCUGAUUUGUGAGGCUCACUUUCGAACAAUAUCCGGUCGGAAUAAAUAAAGAAUAUGAUUGUCUUAUUAUAUAGGUUAUCGAGUUAAACAACUACUCACUAAUUUAAUCGUCUCUCCCUUUUAUUGCAGACUUUGUGGGCAAGACGUACUACUAUUAAACAUCAUACAUUGACAAUAGCUUUAUGGUUUGCGUACAUGACCUGUUCUUAUUUAUUUCUUCAGUUCGCUUAUAAAUUAAAAUUACUAUUUUUUUGCGUUUCUUCAUUAUAAACACAUUAAAAUUUGA